UACGUAGGGGGCAAGCGUUGUCCGGAUUUAUUGGGCGUAAAGAGCGUGUAGGCGGCCAGGUAGGUCGGUUGUGAAAACUGGAGGCUCAACCUUCAGAGGUCGACCGAAACCAUCUGGCUAGAGUCCGGGAGAGGAGAGUGGAAUUCCUGGUGUAGCGGUGAAAUGCGCAGAUAUCAGGAAGAACACCCGUGGCGAAAGCGGCUCUCUGGAACGGUACUGACGCUGAGGCGCGAAAGCGUGGGGAGCGAACAGG
rnacentral:rRNA from 1 species